AUGAAAAACAAAUACUUAUUUAAAAAAAUUGAUUUUAACAACUUUUUCAAGACAGAUUAAUUGGUAUGUAUAGAUAUAGACAAGAUCUCCCAUUAACUAAAAGAAAAGUUAAAUUAUAAACUAUUUUUCAGAAAAAAAAAAUGUUCUGCUCUUAAAAAGUGAAUAAAAUAGUGACCCUAUAAGAUAUAUAGAAAGUAGUAGUUACGGAAAGUUAUUAGUCAUUAAUAUAAACCAACAUUUUUAUGAAGUCUGACAGUAACAUAAGUCGAUUUUUUAAUUGUAAGUAAUCAUUACGUAUUUAUCUAUUUGAAACACUUAAUUAAUUUAAAAAAAACUCAAGCGAAAGUAAAUUAAAAAUUAAACUGGCCUUCAGAACAUUUUGAUUUUUACUUCCUACCAAUAAUGUAUUUCUAUGGCAUGAACGUAUUUUAAUUGUAUAUUUCUUUAAAAUUGAAUUAAAGUUGUUUUAUAUUUACAUAAGUCAGUUGUAUGUAAUCAUAAAUGAAGUAUAUUAUUAUUUUUUGAAUAGAUGUUUACAGCGAAUAAGAAUUCAAAUUAAGUAUUGAAUAAGGCUCAAGUCGUAAACAGCUUAUUCAAAAAGACCAAAUAACAACCAUAGCUACUAUGUUCAUUCACAGUAUUGAAUGUGUGAACGUUUUUGGUAAUUAUUCUUGUUUUAUUUAGUUGUGAAACGACCAUAAUCACGAUUAAUAUGCUGUCGGCUUACCUUCACAAUGAUUCUCGCUGCAAUCGUCAAGGAUGAUUGUGAUAAAUGUAUGCAUUUAGAGUUUAAACUCAUAACUAUAGUAGACGAUCUAUUAUUUUCGGUUCAACACAAACACCGAGAUGCAGAAAGCUUUGCACAGGGUCAUGUCGCUUUCAUGUCCGGAUGUCUGAUAACAAGUAAUCGUAGUAAAUAAAGAUUAUGAAAGAACACCUCACAACCGACUCGCCAUCUGUUCAACGGGCCUAUUUAAGUAGCGCUUGUUGUGAGGGUAGACGGGAAAAACACAGAUAACAAGAUCAGUAGAUGAUAAGAAUAAAUAACCAUACACUGCAUUUUCAGUUGAACAAAGACUACGUUAUUAUUAUUAGUAACUUACUUGUAAAGUCAUAAUAUUUCUAGUAAUAUAUUGAACUAUUUUCAAUAUUAUUCGUUCUUAAUGUUACUGGCAAUAGAACAGGUACACAUUGUAAGAUGGAAAUUAUUAGUCAAUUUUUUGUUUCAAUGACAAGUAUUUUCAAAAAAAAAGGACAAUACAAUUUUUUUUAGGCGUAUUUUUGAAGUAAAAAAAAACAGACAGUAAGCUAAAACACACUCAAGAAUCUAAUUUUAAGACAUUUUUACCCCCUCAUAAUCUAAAACAAGAUCUGGUUUAUUGAGAUAAUUAUCUCUUUCUUGAACAACAAACCAUAAGUACCUACUUCAAAUUAUUAUAAAAACAUCCGAUAUUAACAUGAUGGUUAAAAAUAAAAAUUACUUCUCCCGAUUUUCCAAGGGUAACUAAAGAGGAAAGUAAACGAAAAGUGACAACAAGCAAUUGAUGACCGUAUUGACAUUAUAAUAACACAACAGACUCCGUGAUGAUGAGGAGAUGUACAUGUACAAGGGCACGAAAGUCAUUACAUUCAACUGCGUAUUGAACUAUAAAAACGUGACCCAUUGUUUUCAUUAU